rnacentral:rRNA from 1 species
AUUGAACGCUGGCGGCAGGCCUAACACAUGCAAGUCGAGCGGAUGAGGGGAGCUUGCUCCCUGAUUUAGCGGCGGACGGGUGAGUAAUGCCUAGGAAUCUGCCUGGUAGUGGGGGAUAACGUUGCGAAAGGAACGCUAAUACCGCAUACGUCCUACGGGAGAAAGCAGGGGACCUUCGGGCCUUGCGCUAUCAGAUGAGCCUAGGUCGGAUUAGCUAGUUGGUGAGGUAAUGGCUCACCAAGGCGACGAUCCGUAACUGGUCUGAGAGGAUGAUCAGUCCCACUGGAACUGAGACACGGUCCAGACUCCUACGGGAGGCAGCAGUGGGGAAUAUUGGACAAUGGGCGAAAGCCUGAUCCAGCCAUGCCGCGUGUGUGAAGAAGGUCUUCGGAUUGUAAAGCACUUUAAGUUGGGAGGAAGGGCUGCUGGUUAAUACCCUGCAGUUUUGACGUUACCAACAGAAUAAGCACCGGCUAACUUCGUG